CAAUUAACUGAGUCUACCAUGAAGAGAGAACUAGAUCAAUUGCCAAACGAACCAAUACUGAAUUUUAAAAAUGACCCACCCAUCCACCAACUACCUGGACCAAGUCAUCAAUCCAAUGUCCCACUUAAGAAUCCUCAAUUUGAAAUUGAUAUAGUAAUCUCUGGGCUUACAAGAGAUAAAAUUCUUAAGGACUCAUACCA
rnacentral:lncRNA from 1 species